AGAAUCAACGCUGGCGGCGUGCCUAACACAUGCAAGUCGAACGAGAAAGGGGAGCAAUCCCUGAGUAAAGUGGCGCACGGGUGAGUAACACGUGACUAACCUACCCUGGAGUGGGGGAUAACUGAGGGAAACCUUAGCUAAUACCGCAUAAUACCUACGGGUCAAAGGAGCAAUUCGCUUCAGGAGGGGGUCGCGGCCGAUUAGUUAGUUGGCGGGGUAAUGGCCCACCAAGACGAUGAUCGGUAUCCGGCCUGAGAGGGCGCACGGACACACUGGAACUGAAACACGGUCCAGACUCCUACGGGAGGCAGCAGUGGGGAAUUUUGCGCAAUGGGGGAAACCCUGACGCAGCAACGCCGCGUGGAGGAUGAAGUACUUCGGUACGUAAACUCCUUUCGAUCGGGACGAUAAUGACGGUACCGGAAGAAGAAGCCCGGCUAACUUCGCGCCAGCAGCCGC
rnacentral:rRNA from 1 species